AUUCCUUAAACUUCUAAGUAAGGAAAAUAAUUACUUGGGGAUGAUUCUUGAGUCCUUAUCACUGAUAUAAGACCAAGUUUUAGGUGGGUAAAGCUUGUUCCUAAGUGGAAUUGCCUGAGUAAGUGAAUCUGCCUG
ensembl:snRNA Gm23133 predicted gene, 23133